CACAAAAUUCCAUCCAUGGUAGCUCUCUAGGAAGUUUGAGAGGUUGGACUUAUGAAAGUCAAUGGCAGCUGGCCAUUGUGAGGUCAUCGAAUCAAGCACUUCCUGCUCCGCACCUGCCCUGCAGCAGCCCACUCCCAGACAUCUGCGAACUGUGGUCAUCCAUCCCAGGUUGGAAUGCUUCUCCAUGGUGCACGUACUUCUGCAGGAUCCUAGUUUUGUUGUGGGAGAUAGAGAGGCAACAUGGAGAGAGGAGGUGUCCUCAGAAAUGUGUGCAUAACACAAAUCACCCAACUUGCUGCAGGUUCAGAUUCCUGGGACUCAGACUCUAGAGAUGCUGUUGGCCAUUCAGUCAUAGGUGUUCAAGUGGCUACAUUUUGAGAAACACUUACACAGACAAGAGUCCAGGUCAAGGUCAGAUUUUGUUCUUUCAAGGGCUCCAUGACCAGGAAGUUGUCUGAUCACCACGCGGGGAGGAGGAGUCUGAGAGAACCCAGUACAGGAUCCUGCAGUGUGGUAUUCCUCCAACUUUACAGUGAUCCCCGUCGUUUAGAGGGCAUGGGAAAACAACUGCCUGGACCUUGCUCCCAGAGUGUCAAGUUCAUCAUGUAAGCCGACUGACCUUUCCAAGAUGGCUUUUGAGCUCCGUGUUUCCCUUCUUCGGUGUGAAGGACUUAAGCAAGGUGGAGAGGAUGAUUCCACAUUCCGUGAGCUGCCUCGCGUCCCAUUCCUUAAGGAAGUGGCAUGCUGAUGCCAAAGUUACCUUAAUUAUCAGACCAAAUAAACAAGCCAACUGUGA